rnacentral:piRNA from 1 species
AUAGAGUUGGUGCCUCAAACUGUUC